UUGGGCGAUUGAUUUUAGACAAUUUCGCGAAUUGUGGGCCGAACGUAGUGAGGCUUACAAGCGAAAGUGCCUUAAAUAAGUCGUACCAAACAGGUACAAAUGUAAGUUUUCAUGCAGAAGGCCGAAAUCCUGAGAAAGUUUGAAAAA